rnacentral:rRNA from 1 species
CAGUCGCCGCGGUAAUACGUAGGGGGCAAGCGUUAUCCGGAAUAACUGGGCGUAAAGGGUGCGCAGGUGGUUUAACAAGUUAGUGGUGAAAGGCAUAGGCUCAACCAAUGUAAGCCAUUAAAACUGUUUAACUUGAGUGCAGGAGAGGAAAGUGGAAUUCCUAGUGUAGCGGUGAAAUGCGUAGAUAUUAGGAGGAAUACCAGUGGCGAAGGCGACUUUCUGGACUGCAACUGACACUGAGGCACGAAAGCGUGGGGAGCAAAUAGGAUUAGAUACCCCGGUAGUCCCUGUCUCUUAUACA